rnacentral:rRNA from 1 species
CAGCCGCCGCGGUAAUACGGAGGGUGCAAGCGUUAUCCGGAUUCACUGGGUUUAAAGGGUGCGUAGGCGGAUCUGUAAGUCAGUGGUGAAAUCUCCAGGCUUAACCUGGAAACUGCCGUUGAUACUAUAGGUCUUGAAUUUUGUGGAGGUUAGCGGAAUAUGUCAUGUAGCGGUGAAAUGCAUAGAUAUGACAUAGAACACCAAUUGCGAAGGCAACUGGCUACACAACUAUUGACGCUGAGGCACGAAAGCGUGGGGAUCAAACAGGAUUAGAUACCCGGGUAGUCCCUGUCUCUUAUAC